CCACGAGUUGACCAUGCUUUCACCAUGCGCGUUCACAGGGGAAGGACCUGCGCUCCACCGGUCAUCUGAAGUCAUUCUAAUUCUCCGGUUGGAACGUUAUUCAAGAUAUAUGUAAACAACAUUCUAAAGAUUGAUUCAGUACAUUGUUUGACAUGUUUCUACUGACUGUUCUGGAACUUUUGGACAUUUCGUUACGUUAUAGUGGACGCGCUUUGUGACUUUGGAAAUGUUUACCAAACGCGCUAACCAAUGUAGCUAAUUGGACAUAAAUAACGGACAUUUUCGAACAAAUCAAGCAUUUAUUGUGGACCUGGGAUUUCUAGGACUGACUGCAUUCUGAUGAAGUUCAUCAAAGAAGGUAGCACGGCAGGGCGCCAAGCCACUAGACAGGGGAGGACAGCGAUUAAUAAAUCACCCUAAAGGCAUCAUGGGAUGUUUGGAGCAGGCUGCAGGGCACCCUGGGACAGAGCCAUGCCAUUCACCCGGAACCCAUACCCCAUCCAUGUCUGCUCGUCGCCAGGGUGUUGUUAUCCAUUGGAUCUGCCUAUCCACUCCCAUCAACCCACCUCCGCUGCCCGCUCCUCCACCCGGAACUAUCUACCUCCACGUUCUCAUUAAUUAAUAAAUACUCACCAUCUUUAUACUCACCUUGUCUGCUUCUGGGUCCAAUUCUGGUAAACCCUGACAUUAACGAUAUGAAUGCACAAUGCAAUGUUUUGAACAUUGGACAGCCUGCGUUACAAGUGAUGACUGUUUUGAGUUUUGUGUCGAGUUUUGAAAAAGGACCACAAGGUUCUGAAAUUAGUGCCAAAGUGAUUGUUAAAAACUGUAUAUGGCCUCAAAACAUGGUCAAAAAUAUAUUUUGGGCCUCGCGGGUGGCAUAAUGGUCUAAGGCACUGCGGCGCAGUGCUUGAGAUUUUGGAAUCGAGUCCAGGCUCUUUCGCAGCCGGUCACGACCGGGAGACCCAUGGGGCGGCGCACAAUUGGCCCAGCGUCGUCCGGGUUAGGGAGGGUUUGGCCGGCUGGGAUAUCCUUGUCUCAUCGCGCACUAGUGUCUCCUGUGGCGGGCCGGGCGCAGUGCACGCUGACACUGUCGCCAGGGGUACGGUGUUUCCUCUGACACAUUGGUGCGGCUGGCUUCCGGGUUGGAUGG
ensembl:lncRNA